rnacentral:rRNA from 1 species
GAUGAACGCUGGCGGCGUGCCUAAUACAUGCAAGUCGAACGCGAGAGGAGGGAGCUUGCUCCCUCUGAUCGAGUGGCGGACGGGUGAGUAACACGUAGGCAACCUGCCCAUCAGCCGGGGAUAACUGCGGGAAACCGUGGCUAAUACCGGAUAAUCCUCUCCACCGCGGGGUGGGGAGUUGAAAGACGGUUUCGGCUGUCGCUGAUGGAUGGGCCUGCGGCGCAUUAGCUGGUUGGCGGGGUAACGGCCCACCAAGGCAACGAUGCGUAGCCGACCUGAGGGGGUGAUCGGCCACGAUGGGACGGGGACACGGCCCAGACUCCGACGGGGGGCAGCAGUAGGGAAUCUUCCGCAAUGGAGGCAAGUCUGACGGAGCAACGCCGCGUGAGUGAUGAAGGCUUUCGGGUCGUAAAACUCUGUUGUUAGGGAAGAACAAGUGCUAGUUGAAUAAGCUGGCACCUUGACGGUACCUAACCAGAGAGCCACGGCUAACUACGUGCCAGCAGCCGCGGUAA